rnacentral:lncRNA from 1 species
AACAUGAAUUUCUAUCGAGGAAAACACAUUAAGAGCGAGAGGCAGGGAGCCAAACUUGUUCAACAGCAGAUUCUACAUGUGAGUCUACUGAUAAUUCAUACGUCGUAUACAAAUGCAUCCAAACCAUCAAUUAUCCCUGCUUGCCAUUUUUCUUCUUCAUCCAAACUUUCAGUAUUGGGAUCCUGCCAAGUAAUCGCAACGUAAGGACCACUGAAUAGUAUCUGAAAGUGCAAAAAAACAGAUUCGCUUUUGUUUCCAUUCACAUUCAUUUCAGUGAUCAUCUUGAAACACAAUGAAGAUACGCAGGUAUAGAUUGUUAGACAAGGAGUAAAUUGUUAACAUCACAAUAGAAUCAGUACACUUGUUCCGGACCUUUAGCAGCUUCGGAGUAGCCAUUUUCCUGAGCCUGGACCAAUCAAAUCCUUUAAAGAACGGAUGGUUCUUGAUGUCAUCAUAGCCUUGAACUCCCAGUCUCUCAUUAGGUUUCAAAUUCUGCAGUUGUUAAAAGCCACUUCCAUUAGCGGACAGCUAAUCGUAUAAACUUAGUACAAGAAAACCUGAAAACUAAAAUAGUAAACAAAAUACAUCUUGGAAUUCAAAUUCUACCUCCUUUCAUAGAAACAAACAGCGACGUAUAAAAAUGGACCGAAAUGAAUAGUAGAACAGAAUAUUUACCAGCAGACUGUCUACCAGGUCUUUGGCUUCGGGACUAAAAUGCGAUGGAAUGGAAAGCUCUCGUGCCAUCACUUUCUGAAAGGUCAAAUAUUCUGUCGCAGCUUUGAACGGGGGUCUGCCUUCUAACAUUUGGUAUAUAGUGCAACCCAAUGCCCACAAGUCGACACUGAUGCAAAACAAGAAUAUAGCACAAUAAGAAGAUGCAGAAUCCGCAACUUGAAAGGCAAACUGCACAUGAAAUUGCUAACAAUAUCUUAAAUGUAACUCAUGUAAAGAAAACAUAUUCAAGCAAAUCUUCGCAGGACAGAAUUUUGUAACAUACGAAUGGCUAGCUGAUUUGCCGUGAAGAACUUCUGGUGACACAUAUUCUGCUGUGCCAACGAAGGCGGAAGAAUCUUCUUCUGUCACAGGUAAUUAGGGCUUUUUAUCACAAGAACUCAUCUGCAAUGAACCUUUCAGCAUGGAGAAGCUUCGUACUACUCGUAAUAGAAUCCAAAAACAAGCUUCGGAUAAUCAGCACCUUCAGAUUGGAAAAAUCCAUUUGGUAAUGGUCGGAACAUCUUUGCACUGCCGAAGUCGCACAGUUUAAGGUUUCCCUCUGCUGAUAUGAGUAUGUUCUCUGGCUGCCACAUUUGCAGAACAUCAGUGCAAUCGUAAAUUGGAGGUCAAGGGGCUCACUGGAGAUCUCGACAACUUACAUGGUUUGAAGUGAUGAUGCAUACGUACAAACAGAUUGUGAUAACAGGUAAUACAAUCAAAGCGACUCGUGAAAUCCCAACUAAGAAGAAAUUUAUGCAGAUACAAGAUGCUGGGAAAAAAAUCGCACAAUUAGCAAACAAGACUAUGCACCGAGUACCAAUGCAGCUUUUCAUGGUCCGAAUAGCAC